rnacentral:lncRNA from 1 species
CCAUUGGCAUACUUCCUACCAACAUGCCUGCCUAACAUACCACCAAGAAAUAGCAUGCCUCCAUGCCAGAAGCAUCAGCACUGUACAUGUGAGCAAUGCCUCCAGGCCUACAAGGAGAUCCAAAGCCAAAAGUGUCCAACUUCAUCAAGGGUAUCAGAUGAGUACUCAGAGGUCAAGAAGAGGAGGAAAGUCAGAGAAUCUUGCAGCCUUUGCCAGACACUGAGAAUUUGCCCAGGCACCCUCUAUACUAGAAAGCGGUUUUUAUGAUGAAUUCCCUGUUGCUCAGUUAUCAAAUGAAAAAGCCCAUCACAAAAGCAGACAUACUGAAAAAUGCCAUAAAAGAGCACAAGGAGCACUUCCUGAGGUCCUGAGGAGAGCCGGAGAGCCUCUGAGUGUAUGCAGCCUGUCUUUGGGGUUGAAGUAAAAGAAGUAGACCACUCUUAUGCCCUUGUCAGAAAACUGGACCUCACCUAUGAUGAGAGGUUGAGAUAUGAAAAGGGCAUGUCCAAGACCAGCCUCCUGAUGACUGUCCUAGGCCUGAUAUUUACAAAAGGCAAUUGAACCAAUGAGGAGAUAAUCUUGGAAGAGCUGAAAAUAAAGGGUAUAUAUUACGGGAAGAAGUACUUCAUCUCUGGGGAUCCCAGGAAGGUCAUCACCAGAGAUCUGACGCAUGAAAGGUAGCUGGACUGCCAGCAGAUGCCCCAUAGUGAUUCUUCCCACUAUGAAUUCCUAUGGGGUCUGAGAGCCCACCCUGAAACCAGAAAAAUGAAAGUCAUAGAAAUUUUGA